rnacentral:piRNA from 1 species
UAGUUGUAAAAAUUUGUAAAA